GUAUGAUAGAGUCAAAAUAAAAUGGAUACAUGUUCGGUUACAAAAUAUAAUUUCUGUCACGGGUGCUCAUACAACUUCUUAAUCCGGUUCAGGGGUGAGAUCUUCUUGAUCCACAACCGGAUCCUCUUGAUUUGGAAUGAUGGCAAUUAAAUAGGGUGAGCAAUUUUAAUGCACUUAGUAAGUAUAAGAAAUAAGUUACACCCUGAGCAUGCUACAUAAAAUCAAACAAUCAAUCAAAUAUGUAAAACUUUUCUUUUUGUUUUUAUUUGAAAACUAUGGAAUGCAAAGGUAUUUCAUUUUCUAUCUCAUCUCUCAUUGUUCCACUAACUCUAUUCUAUCUCUCAAAUUUUUCUUAUAAAUUUACGUAUUAUCCCUCGAAAUUCUCUUAAACUCAUUUUUUUCAAAAUUUCUCUAAAUCUAUUUUAUUUCACUGUUUCCUCAAACCACUAUAGAAUUUUUCACAAGUUUUCGGUCAAAUUGAGAUACUCGUACUUCCUCAGCGGGUAUCCCUGAUUCCCGAUUUGCCCCAACAUAAUCACCAAAUUGAAGUUAUUAAAAUUUUAAAUUUUUGAUUUGAUAUUGGACGGAUGUUAUUCAAUUAGUACCAUUAUGAGAUCAGGAUCCCACUAUCACUCACACAGCCAAAAUAUACAUUGAUCACAAUAGUCCGUUGUUAGGUUACUCAUAAUAUAACACACAUCCCAAUGACAUCUCUAAGGGUUUCCAUCCACCCAAGGAUAAGGUUCACCAUACUGCUGAAUUUAAGUCAUACUAAUCUUAAACGACUUAUCUCUAAAUUUUGGCUUCUUCUAAAUAUUUGUAUUAUUUUCUUUUCUUCCUAUUCUAAUUAUAAUUGGUAUUUUAUUUAUUUAUUUAUUUUCAAUUGAAGUUUCAUUUAUCACUCUCCACUUUUUUUUCUAACUAAUUCCCUCUAAAUUCUACUUUAGAAAUUUUUAUUUAAUUAUUUAUGUUUAUAUAUAUAUAUAUUUAUUAAUAUUCGUUUCCUUUAUGUAAUUCUUUAUGAUUUAUUAUUAUAUAUAUUUGCUAAUAUUUAUUAUUAUUAUUAUUAUUAUUAUUAUUAUUAUUACUAUUUUAUUUUAUUAAUAUUACUUAUAUUAUUAUUAUUUAAUUUAUUAUUAAUCUUUAUUUAUUUAUUUAUUUUAGAUAUAUAUAUAUAUAUUUCAAUUCUUAAUUAGUAUUUUUAUUUUUUUCAAUUUUAAAAUCUUAUCAUAAUUCUAAUUUUUUUUUUAUCUAUAACUUAAUUACCUAUUUUUUUUAUCUAGCAACUUGAAUCUAAUUUUUUUUUCUCUGUCUUUAAUUUAUUUCAUCAUCUACUUUAUUUUAUCACUUAUUUUUUUAACCCAUUCUUUAUUUUUUUUUUCUUCAAACAUUUUCUUUCAUGCAAUUUAUAUAUAUAUAUACACACUAUAUAAAUAUAAUGCGUGCAUUCAAUUAAUUCAUUCAAGCAAAUAAGAGUUUAAAAAUAUAAUAAAAAUAUCAAAAUAACUAAAUAGAUACUCUCGAGACUUUUUUCGACGAUUUGAACUCUCUGAAUAGGUUUUGAGAUGGGUUUUAAACCCAAGUCACCACCCCUAUUUGCAAGCUUGUAACUUCUUAUCCGGUUAACAAAAUCUAAUAAAUAUUUAUAUUAUGUACGCCUCAGGUUACCUAUUAAUUAUACUUAUAAUUUAAAAGUCCCUACGAAAUGAUUUGAGCUCCAAAAAUAUUUCCAAAGUUAGAGAAAAAAAUCUGCAGAAAUUUUUUUUUUCUCAGGUCAGUGAUAAACCCGUAAGUUGUAUGCGAUUUUUCAUGCAUGCAUGCCAUGAUUUUGAUUUAAUUUAAACUUUAAGCAUGUUCUAUUACAUGCAAGUUACCUCUAGAGUAUUUUAUUUAAUUAAAAUGAUAAACAAAGCUCUAGCAAAUUACUCACCAAAGUGCCGAUUUGAUCACGUGUUAGGGUAGCGGGUCAUUGGAAAAUCUGAUGGAUUUUUACAAUUUUCAGCACUGGUUGGCCGCGAAAAGCCCUUCUCUCGGCGGUCGUCCCUUCGUCGGCAAUCUCUGCCGCCUUUCCCCAUUUUUUUCUCCUUUCUUCCGGCGAGAAUGGUGUACUUUGGCCUCUCUUCUCUUCUUCUUCCUUUCUUUUUUUUUUCUUCUUUUGUUCUCUUUUUUUC
rnacentral:lncRNA from 1 species